AUGGCGACCGGCGCACGGUGAGUAACACGUAUCCAACUGCGUCUACUCUGGACAGCUUCUGAAAGGAAGAUUAAUACAAGAUGGCAUCAUGAGUCCGCAUGUUCACAUGAUUAAAGGUAUUCCGGUAGACGAUGGGGAUGCGUUCCAUUAGAUAGUAGGCGGGGUAACGGCCCACCUAGUCUUCGAUGGAUAGGGGUUCUGAGAGGAAGGUCCCCCACAUUGGAACUGAGACACGGUCCAAACUCCUACGGGAGGCAGCAGUGAGGAAUAUUGGUCAAUGGGCGAGAGCCUGAACCAGCCAAGUAGCGUGAAGGAUGACUGCCCUAUGGGUUGUAAACUUCUUUUAUAAAGGAAUAAAGUCGGGUAUGGAUACCCGUUUGCAUGUACUUUAUGAAUAAGGAUCGGCUAACUCCGUGCCAGCAGCCGCGGUAAUACGGAGGAUCCGAGCGUUAUCCGGAUUUAUUGGGUUUAAAGGGAGCGUAGAUGGAUGUUUAAGUCAGUUGUGAAAGUUUGCGGCUCAACCGUAAAAUUGCAGUUGAUACUGGAUAUCUUGAGUGCAGUUGAGGCAGGCGGAAUUCGUGGUGUAGCGGUGAAAUGCUUAGAUAUCACGAAGAACUCCGAUUGCGAAGGCAGCCUGC
rnacentral:rRNA from 1 species